CAAAACUCUGAUUUCCCUUGUGUGCUGAUAUUUUAUGUCUCGUUAAACUGUGUGAUUCUGAAAACCUUUUGUUGCAAACGUGACAUUCUUAACCUGGUUUGUCUCUGGUAUGUGUUUUUUUAUGAGUAGCUAAGUGACUUGAUUGUGAAAAUCUCUUCCUACAAAUACCGCAUUCAUAAGGUUGGUCUCCAGUAUGUGUUCUUUUAUGCUUGGUUAAGUUGGCCGAGCAUGAAAAUCUCUUCUUGCAAACAUCACAUUCAUAAGGUUUGUCUCCAGUGUGUAUUCUUUCAUGUGUAAGUAAGGUGCUUGACUGUGAAAAUCUCUUGUUACAAACAUCACAUUCAUAAGGUUUUUCGCCAGUGUGUGUUCUUUUAUGCUUGGUUAAGUUGGCCAAGCAUGAAAUUCUCUUCUUGCAAACAUCACAUUCAAAAGGUUUGUUUCCAGUGUGUAAUCUUUCAUGUGUAAGUAAGUUGGUUGACUGUGAAAAUCUUUUGUUGCAAACAUCGCAUUCAUAAGGUUUGUCUCCAGUGUGUGUUCUUUUAUGUUUAGUUAGGGUACUUGACACUGAAAAUCUCUUCUUGCAAACAUCACAUUCAUAAGGUUUGUCUCCAGUGUGUGUUCUUUCAUGUCUAAGUAAGGUGCUCGACUGUGAAAAUCUUUUCUUGCAAACAUCACAUUCAUAAGGUUUGUCUCCAGUGUGUGUUCUUUCAUGUGUAAGUAAGUUGGUUGACUGUGAAAAUCUUUUGUUGCAAACAUCGCAUUCAUAAGGUUUGUCUCCAGUGUGUGUUCUUUUAUGUUUAGUUAGGGUACUUGACACUGAAAAUCUCUUCUUGCAAACAUCACAUUCAUAAGGUUUGUCUCCAGUGUGUGUUCUUUCAUGUCUAAGUAAGGUGCUCGACUGUGAAAAUCUUUUCUUGCAAACAUCACAUUCAUAAGGUUUGUCUCCAGUGUGUGUUCUUUCAUGUGUAAGUAAGUUGGUUGACUGUGAAAAUCUUUUGUUGCAAACAUCGCAUUCAUAAGGUUUGUCUCCAGUGUGUGUUCUUUUAUGUUUAGUUAGGGUACUUGACACUGAAAAUCUCUUCUUGCAAACAUCACAUUCAUAAGGUUUGUCUCCAGUGUGUGUUCUUUCAUGUCUAAGUAAGGUGCUCGACUGUGAAAAUCUUUUCUUGCAAACAUCACAUUCAUAAGGUUUGUCUCCAGUGUGUGUUCUUUCAUGUGUAAGUAAGUUGGUUGACUGUGAAAAUCUUUUGUUGCAAACAUCGCAUUCAUAAGGUUUGUCUCCAGUGUGUGUUCUUUUAUGUUUAGUUAGGGUGCUUGGGUCAGAAAAUCUCUUCUUGCAAACAUCACAUUCAUAAGGUUUGUCUCCAGUGUGUGUUCUUUCAUGUGUAACUAAAGUGCUUGAGUGUGAAAAUCUUUUCUUGCAAACAUCACACUCAUAAGGUUUGUCUCCAGUGUGUGUUCUUUCAUGUCUAGCUAACCCGUCUGACCGCGAAAAUCUUCUGUUGCAAACAUCACAUUCAUAAGGUUUGUCUCCAGUGUGUGUUCUUUCAUGAACAGCUAAGUCGCCUGACCGUGAAAAUCUUUUGUUGCAAACAUCGCAUUCAUAAGGUUUUUCUCCAGUGUGGUUUCUCUUAUGAACCGCAAAGUGGCUAACGUGGCUUGACUUUGAAAAUCUUUUGUUGCAAACAUCACAUUGAUAAGGUUUGUCUCCAGUGUGUGUUCUUUCAUGUGUAGCUAAGCCGUCUGACCGCGAAAAUCUUUUGUUGCAAACAUCACAUUCAUAAGGUUUCCCCCUAGUAUGUGUUCGUUUGUGUGCCACCAAAUUUCCUUUCGUUGAAAAUACCUUGUUACAAACCUCGCAUUUCGUAGACAUGGUUUCAGCUUUUGAUCUUUUCCCCGUACGGUUAAAUUUCGAUAAAAAUAUCACCCAACUGUUCCCUCGAUUCGUUCUUUAUUGAAUCUUUAUAAUACUUCGGUUCUUACAGAAUUUCUGAUCAUAAAAAUGAGACACAGUUUGCAAACAACACGAGUCUCAAAA